GUGGGGAAUCUUCCGCAAUGGACGAAAGUCUGACGGAGCAACGCCGCGUGAGUGAUGAAGGUCUUCGGAUUGUAAAGCUCUGUUAAUCGGGACGAAAGAGCCUAGUGUGAAUAAUGCUAGGAAGUGACGGUACCGGAAUAGAAAGCCACGGCUAACUACGUGCCAGCAGCCGCGGUAAUACGUAGGUGGCAAGCGUUGUCCGGAAUUAUUGGGCGUAAAGCGCGCGCAGGCGGCUCUGCCAGUCUGUCUUAAAAGUUCGGGGCUUAAACCCGUGAUGGGAUGGAAACUACAGAUCUAGAGUAUCGGAGAGGAAAGUGGAAUUCCUAGUGUAGCGGUGAAAUGCGUAGAUAUUAGGAAGAACACCAGUGGCGAAGGCGACUUUCUGGACGAAAACUGACGCUGAGGCGCGAAAGCCAGGGGAGCGAACGGGAUUAGAAACCCGUGUAGUCC
rnacentral:rRNA from 1 species